rnacentral:lncRNA from 1 species
UGACUCAAGCCACUAAACACUGUCAAUGAUAUCUAUCCCAUUUACCAAGAUCAUAUAUCAAAAGACCAAAUGCCACCAACGUACUCCCAAUUACCAAGAGUUAUGCCACCUAAAUUCCCUUGGAGUCGGGAUUGUAGGCCAAGUACCUCAUUUUGUCUAGCAUGCAUAAAUAAUAAUCCCCGUCGGGAUUGUAGGCCAAGUACCUCAUUUUGUCUAGCAUGCAUAAAUAAUAAUCCCCGUCGG